CCUACGGGAGGCAGCAGUGGGGAAUUUUCCGCAAUGGGCGAAAGCCUGACGGAGCAAUACCGCGUGAGGGAGGAAGGCUCUUGGGUUGUAAACCUCUUUUCUCAGGGAAGAUAAUGACGGUACCUGAGGAAUAAGCAUCGGCUAACUCCGUGCCAGCAGCCGCGGUAAUACGGAGGAUGCAAGCGUUAUCCGGAAUGAUUGGGCGUAAAGCGUCCGCAGGUGGUUUUGAAAGUCUGCUGUUAAAGCGUGCGGCUUAACCGCAUAAGGGCAGUGGAAACUAUGAGACUAGAGUGCGUUAGGGGCAGAGGGAAUUCCCAGUGUAGCGGUGAAAUGCGUAGAGAUUGGGAAGAACACCGGUGGCGAAGGCGCUCUGCUAUACCGUAACUGACACUGAGGGACGAAAGCUAGGGGAGCGAAUGGGAUUAGAUACCCCAGUAGUCCUAGCCGUAAACGAUGGAUACUAGGCGUUGUCUGUAUCGACCCGGACAGUGCCGUAGCUAACGCGUUAAGUAUCCCGCCUGGGGAGUACGCGAGCGACUAGUGAACUACAAAGAAGUUAGACGGCGUGAGACGNGCCGACGGACGACGACGAGGGAGUAGG
rnacentral:rRNA from 1 species